rnacentral:rRNA from 1 species
GACGAACGCUGGCGGCGUGCUUAACACAUGCAAGUCGAACGGGCCCGCUCUCUUUUUUGGGGGUGGGUUGAGUGGCGAACGGGUGAGUAUCACGUGAGUAACCUGCCCCCUGCUCCUGGAUAACUGCUUGAAAGGGCGGCUAAUACGGGGUGUGCCGGCUGGUCCGCAUGGGCCUGGGCGGGGUAGUUUCAUCUUCGGGUGUUUCGGUGGGGGAUGGGCGUGCGGCCGGGCAGGUUGUUGGUGGGGUGGUGGCCCACCGAGGCGGUGGCGGGUAGCCGGACUGAGAGGGUGGGCGGCCACACUGGGACUGAGACACGGCCCAGACUGCUGCGGGAGGGAGCGGUGGGGGGGAUUGCACAAUGGACGGAAGCCUGAUGCAGCGACGUCGCGUGAGGGAUGGAGGCCUUCGGGUUGUGAACCUCUUUCUCCGGUGGUGAAGGCCCUGUCCGUUGCGGCGGGGUUGACGGUAGCCGGGUAUGAAGCGCCGGCUAACUACGUG